GAGUUUGAUCCUGGCCAGGAUGAACCCUGGCGGCGUGCUUAACACAUGCAAGUCGAACGGUGAAGCCGGAGCUUGCUCUUGUGGAUCAGUGGCGAACGGGUGAGUAACACGUGAGCAACCUGCCCUGGACUCUGGGAUAAGCGCUGGAAACGGCGUCUAAUACUGGAUACGAACAAGAAUCGCAUGGUUACUUGUUGGAAAGAUUUUUCGGUCUGGGAUGGGCUCGCGGCCUAUCAGCUUGUUGGUGAGGUAAUGGCUCACCAAGGCGUCGACGGGUAGCCGGCCUGAGAGGGUGACCGGCCACACUGGGACUGAGACACGGCCCAGACUCCUACGGGAGGCAGCAGUGGGGAAUAUUGCACAAUGGGCGGAAGCCUGAUGCAGCAACGCCGCGUGAGGGAUGACGGCCUUCGGGUUGUAAACCUCUUUUAGCAGGGAAGAAGCGAGAGUGACGGUACCUGCAGAAAAAGCACCGGCUAACUACGUGCCAGCAGCGCGGUAA
rnacentral:rRNA from 1 species